ensembl:lncRNA
GGUGUUGUUGAUGUACUGUGGGUGGUUAUGCUUAAACAUACUCUCAUUCCGGUGUCAUUGAAUCACCUACUCAGUUGCUAUGUAGUUCUAAAGGAAAUAUUUUAGUAUGUCUUGGUCUUGGCUCCAGGAUUUUACUUAGAUAUUAGAUACUCAACUCCUCCCUCCUGGUACCCCCAGCCCCACCACCCUCAUCACCUUUCCCCUAGUGAUUGAUACAGGAGAGGGUUCCAAUUGCGUUUACGUCGAAAUUCCAGAUUAUUUUUAUUGCGUCACUGACGCAUGGCCGUUUGUGGGGUGAGGAUGGAGGCUGUUUGAACAUCCUUGUUUUUCUUCCGUGGCUCUGUCCUCAGCGCGGUUGGUCAGUUAUUUGGGUCACUGUUCGCGAGGGUUAAAUGAAGCACGGGCACAUUGCGCAAUGAUGACAAGUGUCAAAAUAAAUAAACACUAUGGCUGGUGAUAGAACUAACCCAUUACAUUUUGAAGACAGUUUGGCAGUUAGACUUGCGUGCAUUCUCUGGAAAGCUUCUCCGAAAUAAAACAUUAUGCACGCGUCGUGAGAUGCGAAGGUUCUGCUAGUAAGGGCGCUGCCAUAUGCCAAGAACUAGUAGGCAGAGGUCACAAGAUACAAAUCUGCCGCGCUCCCAAAGAGGAAUAGCAACAACGGGGCAGCAGCGGCGGUACCCGGAGCGAUAUCGAACCAGGAAUAGCUCUAUAAACACUUUGUCUGAUAGUAAUUAUAACCCGAUGUGGGAGUGACGACAGCCCGGCCCAUUCGUCGCAAAUGCCAGAAUAAAUCUGACAUUAUGACACUCGAUCCCGGCUCCUGUGGUCGCGUGGGGUAAGCUCCGGUGGGCCCCUUGGAGGCAGAAGUUGUUUACCCCGAAAAAAGAGGCACCUGCCACAAGGGGCGGUACCUGGGCUACUUAAAAGUCCUUCCCUCAAAACCCUACGUCACAACUGAGCAGCGAGAGCGGGACAGAGGGGACACCAGCCGGACGGAAUUCGUUCUCAGAGUCUCGUGCUGUCCAAGAGGAUAGCCAAAUGACAGAGCAGAGCGCAAGGACUGUGACGGAGGCUGUUUAGUGUGUUCGGGGAAUAUUGUAUACUAGUAUACUUGUAUUGUAUACUUUAUAACUUGGGACUAUUUUCACACAAAACACUGCUACGAAUAUCACAGAACUAGUUGAGGCAACACAGCGUAACAAGGCGCCAACAGCUUAGGACAGCAAGACCCCUGUAAUACACACACAAACACACAGACACUCACUCGGUUACACACACUAACACUCACACACACAAACCCGUAAGCACCACAUUACUGAAUCCAUCUGACUUGAAGAGGCAUUGAGGAAAUAACUGUCUUAACACAUACACUCAUACAGAAACCCUCUCUCUCUCACACACACACACACACACACACACACACACACACACAUUAAUACAGACACAUACACACACAUUAAUACAGACACACACACACACUCACACACACCUGAAUGGCUGCCCUGGACCUGCAGCGUGGUGUGUGGGUGGGGGAGAGGCCUGAGUUUGACUCAGAGAUGCUGGAGUGGGAGGAACAAUUGCAGGACAUGCAGCGCAAGAUAGAAGAGCUCUACAAUGAAGUGGUUGCUCGCAGAGGAGGAAAUGAAGGUGGCCUGCAGAAGCAGCCAAAUGAUAUCACCCUGCUACCUGUUGCCAACAAGGACUCAGGGCGCUACAACACCAGUUGCCACAGCAAAAGCAAUGGCGAGCACCCGGUUGGCACGGACCUGCCAGCUUCCCUUGGCAAAGGCUGUGGCUAUCAGCUCAAUAAUGGCUAUGGCUAUGCCGAUGGUUACCCAGGCAACGCGGGGAUGGAACCCGCCCUGGAGAUUCUGCAGGGAUACCUGGGGCAUGGAAAGAGCCAGAAGAACUCAAGCACUGCCAAAACAAAACAGAAGAGUGGUCACCAUCCUGAGUCUCAGAGGAUGGGUUCAGGCUGGCCAGUAGGCAGAAGUGAGGAGUUUGAGAACCGGAGGAACCAAUCAGUGUACUGCGAGAACCCUCAGGGAGUGGACUACUGUGACCAGCGUGCGACUCCAAGAGCCAAGCCCCCCGUGCGUCACCGCGACAGCUCCCCCCUGGCGCACGCCCAGCAGCGGCCCUCGCUGUCCGACAGGAAGUCCGCCCCCCUGGACAGGAAGCAGGGCAGCCCAUCGGUCCUGCGUAAGUUUGGCGCCAUGCUUCAGGAGAACGAGGGCAAGCUGCUGACGGACGCGGGCGUGGUGGCGCCCUCCCCUCCCCCAUCUGUAGCCAACUCCUCCCCGCUCAGCCCCCGCCGCUCACACACACGCACACCCUCACACUCACACACACACACACACACACACACACCCUCGCACGCACACACACACGCACGCUCCUCAGACCCCAGUCCCACCCCCCCCAUGCACUCCUCACCCAAAGUGACCCCUGCCCAGGGGCUACACCGAGGGGGGCAUUUGGGGGAGAGGAGGGACCGCGAUUCCCCCAGUGGCAGGGCGGGAGUGCAGGGGGGCGACCCCACAGCUAAUUACUGGAUGGUGGAGCACAUCCUAAACGGACCAAAUGUGGGCCACCACAGCAGCGGGGGUUUCUAUGGAAACGGAAACGGCCAGGAGGAGAGCAGUCUGGUGGAGCUCCUGAACACACUGGGCAUUCAGCAGCAGCAGCAGCAGCAGCAGCAGCAGCCUGCCAGCAGAGUCUCACACACACCACCGGUGAGCCGUGAGUCCUCUCCAGCACCUGCGAGGCGGAGCUUCUCCCGUCCCGCCCGGCCAGCUCAUCAGCGCCCUCCUUCCAGAUGGGCCAGCCAGUCAGGCCACACCCACCCACAGGUCCCCAGCCACUCAGGUCCCAUGAGCCGCCCCCCAAGUCCCGCCCGGAAAGCCAGGCCAGCCAAUCAGAGCUUCAGCUCCUACUCCCGGCACACAGAAACGGUCAUUAUGUGACCAAUUAGUGCUGGGCGAUCACUGAAAGACAUUAGCAUUCAUAAGUGCUCUGGUGAAACGGAGAUAAAAGACUAUAAAAACACUUCUGUCAACCUGCCUUAAAUUCUUGACGUUAGUGGGGGACGGGUCACAGCCCUCUCCCCCCACUAGAGGCCAUAGAGUCAGAAUGACUUCAUGUGUGUUUGCAAAGGGAAUCCCAGACGUCUCUGGACUCAUAGUGUUUCAGCAGCACUGAGAGUAAAAUGCCACUUCAAACCCUGUCUACAUCCCUCUCUUUUUCUGUAUUUUAUUUUUGUACCAUGACAUUUUGUAUGUGCUGAGGACUUUUAACUGAUGCACUAUCGUCCCGUCACUUUACUUUCCUCUCGCCUCCGCCAACCAGAAGUGCACCGCCAUUCUCUCAUACAGAUCUCAUAAACCCAACACGAGCAGCACACACAGAAAUACACAACAGUGGGCAUUCACAGAAUCCCAAGCCUCUCUCGAUCCUUGUGCAUGACUGCCCACGUAUGUUCGACUUGUGUGUACUUUAUUGAUUUUUAUUUUUUUUUGCGUGCAGAGUUUGACAAAAGCCCUACAUCUAAAAGGCUCUGUUCUGUGCGCUUUUGUGAAGACCGUAUGUGUAUCUGUUGCACUUAAGUGAGAUGCAUGGGUGUGAUGCCUAGCCCUUAUCUCUCUUUCUCUGUGUGUGUGAAAACAGUGUAAAACUGCAUAAAUAAACAAAGCUGUUAACUGCAAGGGAGUGUAACCUCUUCUAAAGGUAUAAUACCUUUUUAUAGGGGCGUUAUGGUGUCUUCAUACAGAUUUUAAUGAAGCACAAUAUGAAAAAAAAAAAUAUUUUUAUCUGUACCAUAUUUAAAAGUGAUCAUAUUGUUGUUAUGAUUGUACUGUAAUGCCUUUUUUCCUCUUCUUGAUAAUAAAUGCUUCAGUGCUUUGACCAACUGAGUCUGAUCAAAUGACUUCUUUCAUAUUUUAUAUUCUUUUCAUUAAAAAGUAUAUUACUGAGUUUUUGUCAAAACAACUUGCAAACAUCCACAUCAGCACAGUUG